AGUGAACGCUGGCGGUAGGCCUAACACAUGCAAGUCGAACGGCAGCACAGUAAGAGCUUGUUCUUACGGGUGGCGAGUGGCGGACGGGUGAGGAAUACAUCGGAAUCUACUUUUUCGUGGGGGAUAACGUAGGGAAACUUACGCUAAUACCGCAUACGACCUACGGGUGAAAGCAGGGGAUCUUCGGACCUUGCGCGAUUGAAUGAGCCGAUGUCGGAUUAGCUAGUUGGCGGGGUAAAGGCCCACCAAGGCGACGAUCCGUAGCUGGUCUGAGAGGAUGAUCAGCCACACUGGAACUGAGACACGGUCCAGACUCCUACGGGAGGCAGCAGUGGGGAAUAUUGGACAAUGGGCGCAAGCCUGAUCCAGCCAUACCGCGUGGGUGAAGAAGGCCUUCGGGUUGUAAAGCCCUUUUGUUGGGAAAGAAAAGCAGCAGGUUAAUACCCCGCUGUUCUGACGGUACCCAAAGAACAAGCACCGGCUAACUUCGUG
rnacentral:rRNA from 1 species